rnacentral:rRNA from 1 species
AUUGAACGCUGGCGGCAUGCCUUACACAUGCAAGUCGAACGGUAACAGGUCUUCGGACGCUGACGAGUGGCGAACGGGUGAGUAAUACAUCGGAACGUGCCCAGUCGUGGGGGAUAACUACUCGAAAGAGUGGCUAAUACCGCAUACGAUCUGAGGAUGAAAGCGGGGGACCUUCGGGCCUCGCGCGAUUGGAGCGGCCGAUGGCAGAUUAGGUAGUUGGUGGGAUAAAAGCUUACCAAGCCGACGAUCUGUAGCUGGUCUGAGAGGACGACCAGCCACACUGGGACUGAGACACGGCCCAGACUCCUACGGGAGGCAGCAGUGGGGAAUUUUGGACAAUGGGCGAAAGCCUGAUCCAGCAAUGCCGCGUGCAGGAUGAAGGCCUUCGGGUUGUAAACUGCUUUUGUACGGAACGAAAAAGCUUCCCCUAAUACGGGAGGCCCAUGACGGUACCGUAAGAAUAAGCACCGGCUAACUACGUGCCAGCAGCCGCCGCGGUAA